rnacentral:misc_RNA from 1 species
GCAAACUUGGUCAUUUAGAGGAAGUAAAAGUCGUAACAAGGUCUCCGUUGGUGAACCAGCGGAGGGAUCAUUACAGAGUGUAAAAACUCCCCAAACCCACUGCGAACCUACCCGUAACGUUGCUUCGGCAGGCGGCCCCAGGGGGGGCCGGGGGCCUGGCACAGGCGCCUGCCGGGGGGACAGCAAGAACAAACUCUCCUGUAUCUACAGCAGCCUCUCUGAGCAAAUGAAAAAAAAUGAGUCAAAACUUUCAACAACGGAUCUCUUGGCUUAGGCAUCGAUGAAGAACGCAGC